GCCAGGCAUGGUGGCGCAUGCUUGUAAUCCCAGCACCUUGGGAGGCUGAGGCAGGAGGAUUACAAGUUUGAGGCCAGACUCAGCAACUUAGAGAGGCCCUAAGUAACUUAGUGAGACCCUGUCUCAA
rnacentral:sRNA from 1 species